UACGAAGGGGGCUAGCGUUGUUCGGAAUUACUGGGCGUAAAGCGCGCGCAGGCGGCUAUCCAAGUCAGUGGUGAAAGCCCGGAGCUCAACUCCGGAACUGCCAUUGAAACUGUUUAGCUUGAGGAUGAGAGAGGUGAGUGGAAUUCCCAGUGUAGAGGUGAAAUUCGUAGAUAUUGGGAAGAACACCGGUGGCGAAGGCGGCUCACUGGCUCAUUACUGACGCUCAGGCGCGAUAGCGUGGGAUCAAACAGG
rnacentral:rRNA from 1 species